GUCAAUUCGUGUUACAAAUAACUAAUUAUCGAAUAUGAAAAAGCUUGCAACAAAUUCAUUGAACAAAAAUUUAAUGAAUUACUGUGAAGAAAAGGAUUUAUGGAUUAUGCAGAAAAAAAUAAACUGAGAAAUAAACGUGAAUCGUGGGCAAAAUAUCUCUAAUGGAAAAAAUGCGCAUAAAAACAAUAUCAAAUCCGAAUAUAAAAUAGCUUGUAAGAGCGUUAAAGAAGAUGUAAAUUGAGGAAUAUAAAACUACAAGGAGCAGUUAAUUGAAAAUACCAUAUGUAAAACUCAUUCAUGCAUCUAAAGCCAACACCAAGAAAAUGAAUUAGUGCUCAAAAAGACAUAAGUAAAAUGAAUGCAAUCAAUUGGUUAUUUUUACUCAGUAUUUAAAGAAGAGCCAUUUAGUCCUCAGAUUAUCGCCAACAAACAAAAGCACUCUACAACACAGAAACAAAAGCAUUCUACAACACACAAACAAAAGCAUUCUACAAGACAGAAAUGAGCGAGUAACAAGUGAAGAAAUUGUUCAUGAACAAAUUUGAAAACUGAAAACUAUAAUAAGAUACGACAACAUUCAUCCUAGAGUUUUCAAUGAGUGUGCAUAAGGUUUUGCCAUUCCAUUAACAUUCUUUUAUUGAAAAGUGGUAAAAUUCUUGAUAUGUGGGAAAUGGCAAAUGUUACUCCAAUUUUUAAGAAGAAAGAUAGUAAAUUAGAAGAAAAUCAGUAAUACAGAAGCUUCAAAUUACGAAGGAGUUUCGUUAACACUUAUUAUUCUCAAGAACGAAGAAAAAAGUGGUGCUCAAACUUCAAGAACUUACAAAACCUUAUUAAAUGCGGUGGUUAAAAAAAUUUUGUCGCGAUGGUUAGAUUUCUGGCUCAAAGCAGUUCGUGGUUCUAUGUUGGCUCUAGCUCUAAACGACAUUGGUACGGAAAGAGGCCUGAAAUUCCUCGUUAAAUGGGUGAUUUUUUUGGGAGAUAAGUAUUUUAAAGAUGAUGAAAAGAAAAUAUUUGCGAAUAAUUGAAAUAAAUUUUUUGGUUUAGUUAUAUCUAUUAAUCUAAAAGAUUACUUUUAGAGGUAGUCAGGUACUCCUAAAUCUUUAAGGGUAGUCAGUAUUUAGAUUAUUUCAAUAUAACAUAAUGCAAAAAAAUUUAACGAAAAGUUUCAACUGAUGAUUAUGUUUGUAUAUUCAAUUUUAUAAAAAAAAUUGUUCUUUUAGGUGAAAAAAAGUUGUAUUUGAUGCCAGCUGGAAAAUAUAAAACUUUGUGUGUUUUUUUGUUAAAAACUCAUUGUCCUAACUUAGUUUUCUGUGUUCCUUUAUCUCCUAUUUGUUUACUGAUCUUACUUUAUACUUUUUGUUUAUUCUUUGUUACGUUGUUUGUUUAUUAUUCUUUGUUAUGUUGAUUGCUGAAUACUUUUGGUAUUCAGCAAACAAAUUUAACAGCGAUAAGUUUGUUGAAUAAAUAUCAAGAAUAUUUAAAUCCAAAACUUUAUGAUAGUAUUGUAUGUUGUACGUUUCAUGUAAUUGCCGUUAACUACCAAUGCUCAUCAGAUGAUCAAUACCCAUUGCUUUUAAAACAAUACCGAUUGCUAUGGUAACUGAAUACUUAUUCAUGGAUGAUAAUAUGUUAAAUAAUAAAUUAUUUAAUACUAA